UUUCUGCACCGUGUCAGUAGCGACCUAUUUACACACACACUUGUACUCACUGCAGCUUUUGUCCCUGGACAUUUUCACAGGGAGGCGCAUGUAAGGACUAAAGCCAGGUCAGUGGUACGCAGCAGGGAAGGGAUCCACCCCGGCGUGCGGACUGCUGUCCAACACACCCUGUUUCAUCAUGUCUGCUCCUUGACAGAAGUUUGUUUGGUCUGGACCCAAGUUUGAGCUGAGUCCCAGUGACUCCAGCGAACCAUAGAAAUAGGCGUAAAGCUACAAAUGUGUCCAAGCCUUUUUUUGGACUGUGGACAGAGUCCAAAGAGUACCUUACAGGAUGAUGUCCACAGUACUCAGUACUCGCAGUCCCACUGGAAUCACCUCUUGCCUUUGAAUCAAGCCAAGUGUAAAAGUGGCCAAGUCAGGAUCCAAAUUGUCAAGUCCUUUCUCAUUUACAGGUUUUGCAGUUUCAGCUUCAGACCCCAAAUGAGUGCUUUCCUUAUCUUUUCAAGUCAUAUCUGCCAAAUGGGUGUUGGCUUCAGUGACAGCUGGGAAUGCUCAGCCUCUCCCCAGCAACGAGAGGACGAAGGAUGGUCCUGGCAAAGGAUAAGACCUCAUGGCUUGCCAUCGUUCCAGGAGCCUGCUCUAGAAGGUAACCACAGGACUUCUGAAAAAAAAAAAGAAUGA
rnacentral:lncRNA from 1 species